CCUACGGGUGGCAGCAGUGAGGAAUAUUGGUCAAUGGGCGCGAGCCUGAACCAGCCAAGUAGCGUGAAGGAUGACGGCCCUACGGGUUGUAAACUUCUUUUAUAAAGGAAUAAAGGGAGGCACGUGUGCCGUUUUGAAUGUACGCGAUGAAAAAGGAGAGGCGAACUCCGGGCCAGCAGCCGCGGUAAGACGGCGGAUGCGAGCGUUAUCCGGAUUUAUUGGGUUUAAAGGGAGCGUAGAUGGGUUGUUAAGUCAGUGGUGAAAGUUUGCGGCUCAACCGUCUCCUUGCAAUGGAUACUGGCUGUCUUGCGUGCACUUGCGGUAGGCGGAAUUCGUGGUGUAGCGGUGACAUGCUUAGAUAUCACGCAGAACUCCGAUUGCGAAGGCAGCUUACUACCCUUCCACUGACGUUGAUGCUCGAAAGUGUGGGUAUCAAACAGGAUUAGAUACCCCGGUAGUC
rnacentral:rRNA from 1 species